GAGAUGUAAUCAGCAGGGGGCUUAACAAAUCUAUUUGGAAAUAUAUGCAAUCAUAGGGAAAUAUCAGAUUCAGAAGAGGCUGAAAAACAAAAAGUGGAGAUGACAGCUGCUGUUUUAAAGCCAACGUGGGUUGUAAUGAAAAAAUGAUUGGGAUUAUAUUUUCUCUCUACCUCUUCCUGUCUCAAUUUCACUUUCUAACCAACAUCUGCUCUCUGGUUCUGUUCCUGAAGGUCACAUGAACUUGUAUCUCUCUUUUUCUCUCCUUCUCUCUCUCUCCUCCUUUCAAAAAAUUCCCAACACCUCCACCAAACAGCGUGACCAUGAGAAUGUGAGUGAAGCUGAAUUAGCUCAAUUACUGUGUAAAAAAACAACAACCCACAGGGGCCUGUCGAGACCACCGUCCAUUUCCAUUAGCCUCUCAGCAUGUGUAAGCAUACGGGGGUGCACAUGUGCAGAAGUGAGAUAUGAGACAUAGUGUGAGAGGACCAUAGCUUUAUCAUGUUUUCAUGCUGUGAAAGUGAGUGUGUGUUUUCUCACUGCAUGUACAUGUAGCACUGUGACUGCGCCUGUAGUUUGGACCAGAUUAAAAGGGGGCUACUUGUGAGUUUUCUCUACCGCUCAAUGUGGUUUCUGUCUCUUCACAAGAGCUUCGGCUGUCACUGCUUACAAGACAAGAGAUUACAAUACACCCUCCGAGCAGUGCUACACGUUCAGGGCAGAUUGACGGCUACAGUGAAUCAUCGGGAAGUGACGAGACGGGCCGAGGCUAGCUGGUUAGCGUGCUAACUUUAGUAGAAGAAAAGAUGUGAUAGAGCCAAGGCUUAACAUUGGUGUUGCUGGAGACAGCUCUUGUUACCUGGAUGAAAACAACAAAGACCACUCAGAAGAUUCAGGCACUGACUUCAACCCGCUCAGCUGCUAACUAGCUAGCCGAGGCUCAGGGUGAGACAUGUCUGGGGAGGAGGAUCGGCGAGCCACUAUCACCACUGGCCAGAUCCAUAUACAAUUUCCAAGGCCAAGCCGAUGAUUGGUUGACCGAACACUCUGCUGCUCGGUCCCGCCCACUGAACACCGUCAGUCCAGACAGCCACAUCAGAGCUUCUUCAAUGAGAAGGAGGGGAGAUAAGGUCUACAAAAAAGUCUCUAUAUGUCUAUAGUCUCUAUAUAUGUGAGAAUUUGGGUGAACUUACACAUUAAAGUGACACAGAAGUAGCCAGAGACAAAGUGUUUGUGUUUAUGUUAUGUCUGUUCCUGAGAAAGAUUGGGUCAAAGAGGAAAACCAUGUGAGAUAAAAGCACAAAGUCAGAGAGUGAGAAGCUUAGAAUCAACACACCCCCUCAGACACACUAAAAGGAAACUGGAGGAGGAUUGAUGGUCUGGUGUU